rnacentral:rRNA from 1 species
UACAGAGGGUGCGAGCGUUUAAUCGGAAUUACUGGGCGUAAAGCGCGCGUAGGUGGUUUGUUAAGUUGGAUGUGGAAACUCCCCGGGCUCAACCUGGGAACUGGCAUUCAAAACUGACAAGCUAGAGUAUGGUAGAGGGUGGUGGAAUUUCCUGUGUAGCGGUGGAAUGCGCAGAUAUCAGGAGGAACACCAAUAGCGAAGGCAGCUCGCUGGGACGGUACUGACGCUAAGGCGCGAAAGCGUGGGGAGCGAACGAGGA